GCUCGAGACCCUCCAGACACACCGGGCUGUCAGUCACAUGGCCACCAGCAAGUUCAAGCGGAUGCUGAACCGGGAGCUGUCCCACCUGUCCGAGAUGAGCCGCUCUGGGAACCAGGUGUCGGAGUUCAUCGCCAGCACCUUCCUGGACAAGCAGCCCGAGGUGGAGAUCCGAGCCCGGGACCCC